rnacentral:tRNA from 1 species
GGGAGUAUAGCUCAGUGGUAGAGUGCAUGCUUAGCAUGCACAAAGUCCUGGGUUCAAUCCCCAGUACCUCCC